rnacentral:rRNA from 1 species
GGAUGCGAUCAUACCAGCACUAAAGCACCGGAUCCCAUCAGAACUCUGAAGUUAAGUGUGCUUGGGCGAGAGUAGUACUAGGAUGGGUGACCUCCUGGGAAGUCCUCCUGUUGCAUUCC